rnacentral:rRNA from 1 species
GACGAACACUGGCGGCGUGCUUAACACAUGCAAGUCGAACGAUGAAGGAGAGCUUGCUCUCCGGCUUAGUGGCGAACGUGUGAGUAACACGUGACUAACCUGCCCCUUUCUCUGGGAUAACGCUCCGAAAGGAGUGCUAAUACCGUAUACGAACUCUGAACACAUGUUCGGAGUUUGAAAGGUUUUCGGAAAGUGAUGGAGUCGCGGCCUAUCAGCUUGUUGGUGAGGUAAUGGCUCACCAAGGCGACGACGGGUAGCCGGCCUGAGAGGGCGACCGGCCACACUGGGACUGAGACACGGCCCAGACUCCUACGGGAGGCAGCAGUGGGGAAUAUUGCACAAUGGGCGAAAGCCUGAUGCAGCGACGCCGCGUGAGGGAUGAAGGUCUUCGGAUUGUAAACCUCUUUCAGUAGGGACGAAGCGAAAGUGACGGUACCUAAAGAAGAAGCACCGGCUAACUACGUGCCAGCCGCCGCAGUAA